GUGUAGCUCUUGCUGUCACUGCUAGCUAAUCUACUGUUGUGCGAAAGUGAGAGUUGUGCUAGCUUUAUUCCUGCUGCUUUUGAUAUCUGUUUUGGUCCCACAGCUAGCUAGCAUAUAAUACUUCUACUAUAGAAAGCAUGUACUGACCUUACUGGAACAUAGGACACUAAAUAUUCUCAACCCUGUUUGAUUAGAUUGUUUUGCAUGUCUUCCAUCAUGAGACACGCAAUCCUUGUACUCUAC
rnacentral:lncRNA from 1 species